CUCCUGAUAGCUCAGUUGGAAGAGCAUACGACUGUAGAAGUGGAAUUCCCAUUGGAGUUAUCGUAGGGUCGGUGGUUCGAAUCCAUCUCAGGAGA
rfam:Nematocida parisii ERTm3 unplaced genomic scaffold supercont1.6, whole genome shotgun sequence.